AGCUUGCUCCCUGAUGUUAGCGGCGGACGGGUGAGUAACACGUGGGUAACCUGCCUGUAAGACUGGGAUAACUCCGGGAAACCGGGGCUAAUACCGGAUGGUUGUUUGAACCGCAUGGUUCAAACAUAAAAGGUGGCUUCGGCUACCACUUACAGAUGGACCCGCGGCGCAUUAGCUAGUUGGUGAGGUAACGGCUCACCAAGGCAACGAUGCGUAGCCGACCUGAGAGGGUGAUCGGCCACACUGGGACUGAGACACGGCCCAGACUCCUACGGGAGGCAGCAGUAGGGAAUCUUCCGCAAUGGACGAAAGUCUGACGGAGCAACGCCGCGUGAGUGAUGAAGGUUUUCGGAUCGUAAAGCUCUGUUGUUAGGGAAGAACAAGUACCGUUCGAAUAGGGCGGUACCUUGACGGUACCUAACCAGAAAGCCACGGCUAACUACGUGCCAGCAGCCGCGGUAAUACGUAGGUGGCAAGCGUUGUCCGGAAUUAUUGGGCGUAAAGGGCUCGCAGGCGGUUUCUUAAGUCUGAUGUGAAAGCCCCCGGCUCAACCGGGGAGGGUCAUUGGAAACUGGGGAACUUGAGUGCAGAAGAGGAGAGUGGAAUUCCACGUGUAGCGGUGAAAUGCGUAGAGAUGUGGAGGAACACCAGUGGCG
rnacentral:rRNA from 1 species